GACCUUUUCAUUAAUCGCGGAGCCCCUAUAUAGGGUUUGCCGGCCUCGGCCGGCUAUGGGGAUAAACGACGGCGUGCAAUAGGCGCAGCGGACCCGGGGGCGGUACCC
rnacentral:tmRNA from 1 species